UACGGAGGGAGCUAGCGUUGUUCGGAAUUACUGGGCGUAAAGCGCACGUAGGCGGCUUUGUAAGUUAGAGGUGAAAGCCCGGAGCUCAACUCCGGAAUUGCCUUUAAGACUGCAUCGCUAGAAUUGUGGAGAGGAAAGCAGAAUUCCUGGUGUAGAGGUGAAAUUCGUAGAUAUCAGGAGGAACACCGGUGGCGAAGGCGGCUUUCUGGACACUUACUGACGCUGAGACGCGAAAGCGUGGGGAGCAAACAGG
rnacentral:rRNA from 1 species